AACGCACUGUUAAUAUGCUCUGCUAGCAUGCAGUGAUUAGUAUGGAGGGUUUGCUGUGAUAGAACUCCAUGUGUUAGAACUCCAUCCUGUGUUAGAACUCCCUCCUGGUACAUAGACACACAGUUUUACUUCUAGCACAUGAAGAUGUUAAGACUUUUAGGUGUUCUUUCUUCUUGCAUUGCACAGCUCAGGCUCCUGCAGUCCAGGGUGGGCAAGGAAAGUGCCCGUGCCUAGCAAGCUCCCCUGUCUGGUGUGGAUGUCACGUACAGGAUCUCUUAGGAUACAUCUGUAAUUGCCAUGUUCUCUUAAUUACUCCUUUUGAUUUCCCCGGUUCUGCUGUUGUGUUGAACCCAUCCUUGGGCAGAGGUCUGCGCAGCACCAUAGCCAUGCCACAGGCACGCAGGAUUGGGCUUGGUGAGAUGGCAAGUCAUCCUGCAUGGCAGCUUAAUGAGAGUUUAAAGGAGUGCCACAUAUUCUCCCACUUAAACUGCAAUAAACACAGGCAGUAACAGCACUAUUUCUCUUUUUAUACCUGGAUAGCAAUAUGUCUUCUUUUCAUUAGGCUUUCCUUUAGUUUGCAGUCAC
rnacentral:lncRNA from 1 species